GACGAACGCUGGCGGCGUGCCUAAUACAUGCAAGUAGAACGCUGAAGAGAGGAGCUUGCUCUUCUUGGAUGAGUUGCGAACGGGUGAGUAACGCGUAGGUAACCUGCCUUGUAGCGGGGGAUAACUAUUGGAAACGAUAGCUAAUACCGCAUAACAAUAGGUGACACAUGUCAUUUAUUUGAAAGGGGCAAUUGCUCCACUACAAGAUGGACCUGCGUUGUAUUAGCUAGUAGGUGAGGUAACGGCUCACCUAGGCGACGAUACAUAGCCGACCUGAGAGGGUGAUCGGCCACCCUGGGACUGGGACACGGCCCAGACUCCUACGGGAGGCAGCAGUAGGGAAUCUUCGGCAAUGGGGGCAACCCUGACCGAGCAACGCCGCGUGAGUGAAGAAGGUUUUCGGAUCGUAAAGCUCUGUUGUAAGUCAAGAACGAGUGUGAGAGUGGAAAGUUCACACUGUGACGGUAGCUUACCAGAAAGGGACGGCUAACUACGUG
rnacentral:rRNA from 1 species